UAAUACAAAGAAAAUUAAAAUGUGUGCAAUGUCAUUGCUUAGAAAGUGCAAAUGUAAAAAUUGAUAUUUUGGAUGCAAUGUAUUCCAUCUGAACCUAUGUACAAAUACUGGCAUCUAUGACAUUACAUUGAUGAUAUGAUAUUACGUAUCUAUGAUGUACAUAUGUACAUUGUCCCUGAUUUACUGAAAUUGCAAAGAGCACAGAGGACAUGCUCCACUACACAGAAACCCAAACCCACGCAAUGCUAUAAAAAGAAGCAUUGUUGACAUAGAAAAUAAACCUGUUGAUUCUAGAUACAUGUAUCUCUUCUUAUCCUAAGUGUGUCAAAGGGCAGCUAAAGCUCUUUACCCUCUGUCUAGUUGCAGCACAGUCAAGCAAUUAAUAAUAUACAGUUCCUUCUAUAUCAAUGUGUUCUACAGGACCUUCUAUAUCGGUAGCCAGAGGGUCUGUCAUUUUUUGUAAAUGUUCAUUUUAUUUGUUUGUUUUUACACACAUGGACAUCACAACCAACCAUCAUCAAGGUUAUUAUACUUAUUAAUGGGUUAGUAUAGUUAUUAGGUUAUUUGACUGCUCAUUUGAAUUGAAGAGGUUUAAUCCAUGUUUUAAUAGCUCAAACACACAAGCUUGUACUGUAAAGAAUAUCAUCUUUAUUCUAAAGUGUUCUGUUUGUGCAGAUUUCUGCAAUUUGAAAUAUUUAUAGAGUUCCAAGGUCCCCGGUUCCGUCCUGGGCUUGGGUUAUUGUCACAUGUUCUCCAUGCAUUUAUGUGGGUUUCCUCCAGGUUUUCUAGUUUCUUCCCACAUCCCAAAAGCAUGCAGACUGGCAUAUUGGCUAUGCUAAAUUUCCCCUAGGUGUGGAAAAGUAAGUGUGUGUAUGUGUGUGUGUGUGUGCGGUGUUCUGCGAUGUACUGGUGUCCCAUCCAGGGUGAAUUCUCCUACCUUGAGUCCAGCAUUCACGGGAUAGGUUCCUGAUCCACCAAGACCCUUUCCAGGAUAAAGUUACUGAAAAUGAAUGAUGGAAAUGUCAAUGGUAAAAUGUAUCAAUGUUCACGCUCUCAGAAGACCUGACCAGCCCUUGGCAGAGAGUGCUUUACCUUGGGUCUGAGCCUGAUCUGGUCAAUUUCAGCAUGUGUCAGCACUGUUCUUGAAACUUCACAUGGGUGCUGCAUGAACACACUCCUGACCUGCAAAGCAUGACCUUUUGAUUAAAAUGUACGUGUACAUUCUCAGUUUUCUGAAACUUUACAGCUGCAUCAGAGAUCUUGUGGUAACAUUAAAAUCUCUAUCCUA